CAGCCGCCGCGGUAAUACGUAGGGUGCGAGCGUUCAUCGGAUUUACUGGGCGUAAAACGUGCGCAGGCGGCCCGUUAAGACAGGUGUGAAAUCCCUGGGCUCAACCUAGGAAUUGCGCUUGUGACUGGCGGGCUCGAGUACGGUAGAGGGGGGUGGAAUUCCUGGUGUAGCAGUGAAAUGCGUAGAGAUCAGGAGGAACACCGAUGGCGAAGGCAGCCCCCUGGGCCUGUACUGACGCUCAUGCACGAAAGCGUGGGGAGCAAACAGGAUUAGAUACCCUGGUAGUCCACGCCCUAAACGAUGGGUACUAGCCGUUUGGUGCGCGAGAGCGCUGAGUGGCGAAGCUAACGCGUGAAGUACCCCGCCUGGGGAGUACGGCCGCAAGGUUGAAACUUAAAGGAAUUGGCGGG
rnacentral:rRNA from 1 species